UAACACAUGCAAGUCGAACGGAGAUCGGAUGAAGCUGCGAUUCCGAAUUUAGUGGCGGACGGGUGAGUAACGCGUGGGUAAUCUGCCCUUGAGAGGGGGAUAACAGUCGGAAACGACUGCUAAUACCGCAUAAUCUGGCGAGGCCUCAUGGUCAUGCCAGCAAAGGUGGCCUCUGAAUAUGCUACCACUUAAGGAUGAGCCCGCGUCUGAUUAGCUAGUAGGUGGGGUAACGGCCUACCUAGGCAACGAUCAGUAGCCGGCCUGAGAGGGUGUACGGCCACACUGGAACUGAGACACGGUCCAGACUCCUACGGGAGGCAGCAGUGGGGAAUAUUGCGCAAUGGGGGAAACCCUGACGCAGCGACGCCGCGUGAGCGACGAAGGCCUUCGGGUUGUAAAGCUCUGUUCUAAGGGACGAAUGACUCUAUUGUUAAUAAUGGUAGAGAAUGACGGCACCUUAGGAGAAAGCCCCGGCUAACUACGUGCCAGCAGCCGC
rnacentral:rRNA from 1 species